GUAGGUGGCAAGCGUUGUCCGGAAUUAUUGGGCGUAAAGCGCGCGCAGGCGGUCCUUUAAGUCUGAUGUGAAAGCCCACGGCUCAACCGUGGAGGGUCAUUGGAAACUGGGGGACUUGAGUACAGAAGAGGAAAGCGGAAUUCCAAGUGUAGCGGUGAAAUGCGUAGAGAUUUGGAGGAACACCAGUGGCGAAGGCGGCUUUCUGGUCUGUAACUGACGCUGAGGCGCGAAAGCGUGGGGAGCAAACAGGGAUUAGAUACCCUGGUAGUCCACGCCGUAAACGAUGAGUGCUAAGUGUUAGGGGGUUUCCCGCCCCUUAGUGCUGCAGCUAACGCAUUAAGCACUCCGCCUGGGGAGUACGGCCCGCAAGGCUG
rnacentral:rRNA from 1 species